rnacentral:rRNA from 1 species
UACGUAGGUGACCAGCGUUGUCCGGAUUUACUGGGCGUAAAGAGCGCGCAGGCGGUCGUUCAAGUCGAGUGUGAAAGCCCCCGGCUCAACUGGGGAGGGUCACUUGAUACUGAUCGACUCGAAGGCAGGAGAGGGAAGCGGAAUUCCCGGUGUAGUGGUGAAAUGCGUAGAUAUCGGGAGGAACACCAGUGGCGAAGGGCGGCUCCUG